rnacentral:lncRNA from 1 species
GGGGCUGUCAACAGAAGCGCUGGUGAGGCUCGCCUGGCCGCGUUUGGUAGUAACCGCUUUCAGUAAUGACUUUGUGAAUGCAUCAAACGCUGGUUUUAACUGUCCGUGCGGGGCACUGGGCAGGCAUUCUGUCAGUGCCUUGGGACUGAGGCGCGUCACCUUCCCUGGAAGAGCCAAGAUAGUAUCCGAUAGAUGCUGCAAAGGCGCAUGGAACUGCAGAAAUGGAGGGGACUCUGGCCUUCCGCCGGCCCUUCCCUCCAGGUGGGUAGGUAAGGGGAAAGGGUGACUCGGGACCCUCCGUCGGGAAUCACUGCCGUGCAGGGACCGGUCUAGGCGCUGCCAGAACCAGCAACUCCGCUCAGUCCCGCGCUCUGGACACACUGGAGGGGUGUAGAGUCAGUAGAGCUGUUGAGGGGGAAUCACUAACGUAGAUGUAAACAUGCUUGAGCUGUUUUCAAGCCUGUAGCCAUCAGAUACUGCCUGGGAUUGUGAUUACACCUCUCCGUAUUGCAGGGGCCGAGGGCAGGCUGCCCCAAGUGUGCUACUUUGGCGUAUUGAUUAUUUCAAAUACGUUACUUAAGAGACCACCUGUGUAGGAAGGACACUCAGACCCUUCUCUGUCCCCUGAAAACAGGAAAUCAAUCGGCACGUGAAAGGUACCCUCUUUGUAUCAGGAGAUAAGGAGCCAUCCUUAUCACCAGAAAUGUAGAGCCAAGAAGGCUUUAUAAACAACCCUUGCUACUUUUUACUAAUUUACUACCCCAGCCCACAUUCUGUUUAGAAUUCCUUACUAAUUGAAGCUUCCAAAGUUAGGUUUUCUAUAUCCUGUCAAUUCUUCACAGAUCUAUUGUCUCCGUCUGGAAAGUAUAAAACCUUCCUGCUUUGGUCAUUUCUUUAGGCCUCAAUUUCAUGAUUUGGCCUCUGUAAUAAAAUGUUGGAUUUUUUUUCUCCUGCCAAUCUGUCUCAUGUAAAUUUAAUUCUUAGUCCAGUUGGAAGACCUGUGGGUAGAGAAUUUUUCAUCCAUCCUUAUCUACUUACUGUGUGCUUGCUGUGUGUCCGCUCUGUUUUAGGAGCUGAGAAACAAUGUAUUGAAAAUGUCUGAGAGCAGAUCUCCCAACGUUCCAGGACAACCUGGGGCCCUAUUUCCAAAUCCACUUCCUUUUGGUGACCCACUAACCACUUAACCUUGAGCAAGCAUGUUUAUGUUAGAUCACCAGCCCCUGCUUUGUCCAAUCAGAUAGUCAGGUGUGACAUUUUUAAGGCAAGUACGUGGCCUGUUCUGAAUGCUAUUCCCCAGCUGUGGCAUCUGAAAAACUAAAUGCAGCCAUUAUAUCACCACGACUAAAUGUACCAUACAGGUUGAUGACUGGUGCCCCACUGGUUCCGAGGUGGGCUUUAAUUUCUAGCCCACCCCACCCCCUAGCAGGGAUUUUUUUUUUCCUCCUUAAAAUGCUAUCACAGGAACCUGGAUCUUUCUCCAAAGUCUGCCAAGCAGGCACUAGCAAACCAGAGUGAGGCUGAGGCAUGGAGGGUUUUCCGAGGGCCCCAAUGGCCUUGCUGACUUAUACAUGUUUAUAAAGUGCUGUAAUUAAACAAAGUGAGAAAGUCAGUAUGGUAGGGAGAUAAUAAGAAGGACAUAGGAUAGUAAGGGAAAUGGUGCCUGGGUCAAGGGAAGGGCCUGAACAUCAGCUGUUUUGACCUUAAGGGAAAAAAAUCACAUGAUUAGGGCUUCUUAGACUCUAACCUGCAUGCAGACUUCCUGGGGGAUAUUUUUUAAUUGCAGAUUCCAAUUCUGUAGGUCUGGUAUGUGGCCUGAUUAUUAAUUGAGAUUCUCUCUCUUUUUUGUAAUGUUUAUUUAUUUUUGAGAGAGAGAGCGCAAGUGGGGGAGGAACAGAGAGAGGGAGACACAGAAUCUGAAGCAGGCUGGAGGCUCUGAGCUGUCAGCACAGAGCCUGAUGCAGGGCUUGAACUCACAAGCUGUGAGAUCAUCACCUGAGCUGAAGUCAGAAGCUUAACCGACUGGCCACCCAGGCACCCCGCGAUUCUGUGUUUCUAAUCAGCUCCCAGUGAUGCCUCUGGUCUUGCUAUAUGGGUCAGCACACGGCCCUUUAAAUAACAAAGCUCUAGAGCAGCCACUAGAACUUUCUGCAGUGAUGGAAACAGUCUAAAUCUUACUGUCCAGUAAAGUAGCCAUGAGGCACGUGUAGCUAUAGAGCAUUUAAAAUUUGGUUUGUGUGACUGAGUUUUUUACUUUAAUUAACUUAAACUUAAAAACCCACAUGUAGCCAAUGGCUACCAUGUUGGACAGCAAGGUCUAGAUUGUAUACUCCUUAUCUAUGAAAUGAGAGUUUGAAACUGGAUGAUUUUCUAUAUUCCUUCUGGUGUCCUAUGGUCCCAAGUUGUUUUCAAGGUGUGUGUAGAGGGAGGGGAUGGAUGAGGGAGCAAGAUGUUACAGAUGUCAAAAUUUGGUAUGAAGGACUAGGGAUCAAGAGCUCUACCAUGGUGGGGUGGCGGAAGCGGUUUAAGUUUUUUAAGUUAUUUAUUUUGGGUGGGGGAAAGGCAGAGAAAGGGGGAGAGAGAGAGCCCAACGUGGAAGCUCAAACCCACGAACCGACUGAGCCACCCCCCCAACUUUUUUUUAAAGUCUAAAGAGCAUAGCAAGGACUAAAGCUUACUGCCUCUGCUAUGUCACAUCUGCUCUGCCUCUGUUGGGGGUGAGAUCGGAAGAGCGUCGNGAGGGAGGGGAUGGAUGAGGGAGCAAGAUGUUACAGAUGUCAAAAUUUGGUAUGAAGGACUAGGGAUCAAGAGCUCUACCAUGGUGGGGUGGCGGAAGCGGGCCAUGGUCACCUAAGGGAGGGAUUCUAGAACUCAGCGGUAGAAUUGCCCUCCAGAGACAAGAGACUCUGAGUAGCCAAUGAAUGUCGGUUGAACUCUUCAAAAGCAGAUAAAAGGCCUUCUUUAGCAAGAUACAAAUGCCAGGCCAUAAAGGAAAAGAGCAAGUAAUAUAACCAUAUCAAAAUUUAAAGUUUCUGUGUGGAAAAAAAAAAGACACACAAUGAAACACAAUGCAAAAAGUUGAAACAGACCUGGGUUUAAUGUCUUCAAUAUAUAAAGAAAAAUUAAAUGAUAAAAAAAUAUAAAAUAGAUUUUUAAAAUCCUUCUCAAAAAACUCUCAAGUCAUGCACAGACACAAGAUGCCUAUACUCAUCUGGGAUCAAGAGAAUGGAAAUUCAAACCAUGAUGACAUAACUAAAAAAGGUUCAUGGUACUAAAUAUUGUCAAGAACCUGGCUCGAUGGGGAAUACUUCCACCCAGUCCAUGGGAGUGCCAAUUGAUACAGCUGUUUGGAAAACAGUUUGGAAGUGACCUGUUUAAAAAAUGUAAAAUGAAUAUACCUUCUGACCAAACAAUUUAAUUUCUGGAAGCCCAGCCCCUCUCAUGUGCGUAUAGAGAUACAUAAAAGGAUGUUUCAGUAUUUUAAUAGUAAGAAGAAGGAGAAGAAGAAGAAAAGAAAGAGAAGAAAAAGAAAACGAAAUAAGAAUGCCCAUGAUUAAAUAAAUUCUGAUACCCCCCAUAAUAUGAAAUGCCUUGACAGCAAUUAAUAAAAAUGAGGUAAAUCUGUAUUCACUAAUUUGGAAAGCUCUCCAGAACAUACCGAUAUGUAAAAAAAGCAAAAUCCGUGAAGUAUGAGCCAAAAGUUGGUUCUUUGAGAUUAAUAAAAUUGGUAAACUCCUAGCUAACUAAUCAAGAAAAAAAAAACAAAAAUAGAAAUGAAGGCUACAGAUUUGGGAAAGAGGAUGUGACUACAGAUCCUACCAACAUUAGGAUGAUAAUGAGGCAGUAUUACAAACAGCUUUAUGCCAAUGAAUUUGACAACUUAGAUAAAAUAGACAAGAUUUUAUCUUAAGUUAGAGAACAUAACUUACCAAAAACUGACAGGAUAAAAUAAGAAACUUGAAUAAAAUAAAAUAAAAUAAAAUUAAAUUAAAUUAAAUUAAAUUAAAUUAAAUUAAAUUAAAAUAAUGGUGUCAAAACCCUUUAAGAAAAAAAGAAACUUGAACAACUCAAUAUUUAUUUUUAAAAACAUGAAUAGGGGUGCCUGUGUGGCUCAGUCAGUUGAGCGUCCGACUUCGGCUCAGGUCAUGAUCUCGCAGUUCAUGAGUUCGAGCCCCACGUCGCACUUUGUGCUGGCAGCUGAGAGGCUGGAGCCUGCUUCAGAUUCUGUGUCUCCCUCUCUCUCUGCCCCUUCCCCGCUCAUACUCUGCCUCUCUCUGUCUCUCAAAAAUGAGUAAAAGUUAAAAAAAAUUUUUUUUACGUGAAUAUAUAAUUUUUGAAAAUGUCCUACAUAGAAACAUUUUUUUUUUUGAAGAAUUAAUCUCCCCCAAGGGUGGAGUAAGAUGGUCAUAAAUUCUUUACUCCUUCUCACACUGAAAGUUGGAGGCUAUUUUCUCUCCCCUUCGGUCUGAGCUGAGAUUUGUCGGGACCAGUAAAAUGUUUCGGAAAUGAUGCUGUAAUUUCCGAGUCUGGGACUUAAGAGAUCUGUGGCUUCAGUGUUUACCAAUUCGUGUUAAUUCCUCUCGAAAGUCCGACUACCCCGUGACCACCACGCUGUGAGGAAACUCUGCUGACCAUGCGGCACCAGACUUCUUAAGAUUUCUGGCCCAGCCUCUGCUACUGAAUGCCCCCAAGUGAAUGACACCAACCGACGACACGUG